UUUCCGUAGGUGAACCUGCGGAAGGAUCAUUAACACUUUUAAAAAUUUUUAUGAAGUAAAUUUAUUUACUUCAUAAAUACAACUUAUGCGAACUUGUUAAAGUCUUUUAAUAGUAUUUAAAAACUAUUGUAAUUUUUUUUUGGAAAUAUAAUUUAAAAAAUUCUUUUAAAAAACAAUACAACUUUCAACAACGGAUCUCUUGGCUCUC
rnacentral:misc_RNA from 1 species